rnacentral:tRNA from 2 species
GCGGGCGUAGUUCAGUGGUAGAACGUCAGCUUCCCAAGCUGAAUGUCGUGGGUUCGAUCCCCAUCGCCCGCUCCA